AAUAAUUAUAAUACAUAGUUAUCUGUUUUUGUAGGAAAAAGAAAGGAAAAAAAUAGGCAAUUUUAUUACACCUUAGCUGCAUAUGUAGAAGCAGCCAUUUUUUGUGUUAUUCUUAGAACUAUGUACAAUCGGAAUAACGUAUAUUUUAAAAUUUCCUCCGAGUCAUCCAGAUUAUAUACAGUGGGUCACAAAACUAUUUGGCCACCCUAUAUGCUCUGUGAUUUUAAGCAAUUUGAAGGUCGUAAAUGUAGAAAAAUAAACAUUUCAUAUGUCAUAUUAAAUGCAUCCAAAAUUCAAGAAAGUAAUAAGGUUAAAUAUGGAACAGAACAAAAACCAC
rnacentral:lncRNA from 1 species